UACGUAGGGGGCAAGCGUUGUCCGGAAUCAUUGGGCGUAAAGAGCGUGUAGGCGGCCUGGUAAGUCCGCUGUGAAAGUCCAGGGCUCAACCCUGGAAUGCCGGUGGAUACUGUCGGGCUAGAGUGCGGAAGAGGCGAGUGGAAUUCCUGGUGUAGCGGUGAAAUGCGCAGAUAUCAGGAGGAACACCAAUUGCGAAGGCAGCUCGCUGGGACGUAACUGACGCUGAGACGCGAAAGCGCGGGGAGCAAACAGG
rnacentral:rRNA from 1 species